UCUCCCAUCCCCGCCGAAAAAAUGAAAAAAGAAAAAAAGAAACAGACCGACGAGGCCACGACCCACGAAAGCACGUCCCACGCACACGCGGCCUCCCCAUCUUCCGCACUCCGUUGCUCCCGAUUUCAUCACUUGCCCGCUCCAAUUUUUCUCUCUGACUCCCCCCUCCUCGUCCGCCGCCGUGGUCGCGGUCCAGGCCAUCGGCGGUAGGAGCGAGUCCCAUCGAGAAAUUCUUCACUCCUCCCUCUUAUCUGCACAACUCUUGAUCGCGUCCGUCCAUGGGCGAGCUUGGCGGCGGGGCAGAAGGAGAGUUCGUAAGCAGCUGUCAUUGGUGUACGCCGCCUUUGCCUGCGUCGCCAGGGGUGAUCGUACUACAGUCUGCCCAACGUACGCCGGCGCCGGAGUACGUACUGGGCAUAGGGGUGGUGUGCAGGUGCAGGUCGAUUUUAGUCGUCCCGUACGAUUUUGCCAUGGCGGAUCCGCUGGCCGCAGGGAACACCACCGGCGGGGACGCCGUGAGGGCGGGAUUCUCGGUGUGACGGAAGUCCGACGCCGGCUGGUGCGGCGAGUGGAGGCCUCCGGAGGUUUCUGCUCCGGCGCUCACGCUAUUGGGUCUUGUCCUACUCCUUCGUCAGGUUCAGAUCCAUUUUUUCCAACAGGCCUCAAUAAAAAUUGGGGAUCAAGAAAUUGAUCGCUUCGAAGUACUGAGCAGGCGUAUUCUUUCUUAUGUAUGAGGGUAUGAAACAUGUUUUUGUUGUUAAUUCUUGCGACACAGGGGAUUUUUGGUAGUCAAGUGGUCAACCCGUCCGCCAAUGCCGUCAUUAUCUUCAUUGGGUGUGCUUGCACUUUAUUUGGAAGAUGCCAGGCAGUAGCACUGCUUCAGUAUAUUAAGAGAAGAUUUACAAAAUCUGAAGAUGUAUAAUUACACUCGAUCUAUGCAUAUUUGCCCAGAUUUGAAUAACUUUGAGUUUGUGACCAUCACACUUGGUAUCUUCACUGAUGUAUUUUUUGUUUUGCUAAGUCAAGUAGUUCCUGUGAAAUGACUUUGGGAAUGGAGUGGUUCACUGGGGUAAUUAGCGGUAGCACCUCACGCUGACAGGGAGUGCACGAUCGAGGUAUGUAUUUUCAGCUUGUUAGUCAGGAUGAAGUGGAAUACAUCAUAAUAUUUCUCUGCAUGAACUGUCAGGGACAUAUCACCACGUCCACUUAAUCCAGUUUAUCCGUGUUCGUUCCUUAGAUUGCCUACCUGUGUUCGGAUUUACCAUGUAUUAUUUGACUGGAAAAAUUACAUUGUUAAUCGCUUCAGAGAACAAGUGAAAAUGUAGGUUGUAUCCCUCUUUUGUUUGUUAACAAUCUGUUUACGGAGUCACUACUCCAUCAUCACAUAAUACACAUAUGUUAAGGUCAAGAAUUUGUCAUCUAUACUUCUGAUCCCUUUUUAGUUAUGCUGAACUUGAGAAAGUGGAUUAUUGGAACAAGUGAAUUAUUUAAAAAGUAAAUUGUCAGUGUGUUACAUGUCGGAAGAGGCCUUUUGGAACAAGUGAAUUAUUUCAAAAUUAAAAUCUUUAUAUUUGUUUAAAGUGAAGUUACUCUCCAACUACAAUUCUAUGCAAGCACUGAUCUUUAAAUUGAAGGUGAUUAUUCUUCUUAGGAAGGGAGAACGAUUCACUUUGGUGUAUAUGAUCCUAUGGUCUUUUUUAUUGAUUGCUAUGGUUGUUUGUAUUAUAUCCUCUAACUGACCCAACUUGCCAUGUCAUACUCAUGCUAUUAGAUCGGGUGCUCAUGCAAGAUGGUUACUUCUCUUAAGGGUGUGUUACUGUUUGUAGUUUAGACUUGAACACAUACUUCUGUUUGAAAACAAUAAGUGCCAGCCUCUCAUGAUUACGGUAACUAAUUAUUCAUUUAACACAUGCAGACUAUCAGAUACAACCGGAUGCCGCCACUUUGCAGUGUCAAAUUUAUGUUGGUGAGCAGGCCAUGCUGUUCAUGGAAUGGCUUGACGUGAAAGGAAAUUGACCCAUAGGUCGAGAAGAGAAGCUUUCAUUGAGCAUAAGUGUGGUGUUGUUGGAAUUUUUGAUAUUAGUUAGAUCUUCAGAUAGCCUUUGUUUGGAGGUUAGAUAGUCUUAUUAUGAGGAUCAAGUAUGAAAUUAUGACAUUCUAUGAGGACUAAGUUUAGGCGCAUAAA